rnacentral:tRNA from 1 species
UCCCUAGUGGUCUAGUGGUUAGGAUUCGGCGCUCUCACCGCCAUGGCCCGGAAUCGAUUCCUGGUAAGGGAA